UACAGAGGGUGCGAGCGUUAAUCGGAAUUACUGGGCGUAAAGCGUGCGUAGACGGCCAUCUAAGUCGGGUGUGAAAGCCCCGGGCUCAACCUGGGAAUUGCAUUCGAGACUGAAUAGCUAGGGUACGGUAGAGGGAAGCGGAAUUUCCGGUGUAGCGGUGAAAUGCGUAGAUAUCGGAAGGAACAUCUGUGGCGAAGGCGACACCCUGGACCAGCACUGACACUGAGGCACGAAAGCGUGGGGAGCAAACAGG
rnacentral:rRNA from 1 species